CACAGUGCCUGGUUUCUUUGUUUUCUAAGUGGGAGUUGAAAACCUCGGGGUGUGUGAGUGGCUCUCAGGGUUUUGUCGGCAGAUACAGGCACACGUUUUCUGGGGAGCCGGGAGACAGGCAAGGACAGAGGCACCCGGAGGAAAGAGGUGGCGCUCUGACUGGCUGGCACGCGCGUGGGUGACUCGCCAAGUGCACCAGCGUGACGGGGUGGAGGAGUCAGAUCCCGGAGUCAAAGUUGAUGCCGUUCCCCAGCCCCGCGUCCUCCAGGCCCGACCACCGCACCCGCUGCUUCGCUGCCUUGGUACGGCCCCGCCGCUGGGGUGAGUGGAGAGCAGACGUCGGGACACCUCUGUCCCUUUGCUCGUGCAUUUCUCCAUAAAGGCCCUAAAAACUGCUUUAACAAAAAGUGAUUUAAAAUGAUGACUAUAAAGCAUAGGUAGGUCAGUCACCUUUUAUUUUUAAAGUAUGUGUUCUAGGAUUAAUAGGUAAAAUAAGUAUUCAUAGCAUUAGACAGUCUUAAAAACUAUAAUCUGUGCAUCUCUGGCACUUAGUGCAUGAUUAUUUCAGUUAAUUUCUUCGUGAUCACUCUAUUUCCUUCUUCAAGACAGAAACGUUUUCGUCUGACUUGACUUGCCAGGCAAUAACUUAGGCAAAAUCAUAAGAAUGCUGUAUACAUAUAUAUGAUCACAUAUACAUAUGAUCAAGAGUUUUGCAAAAAAAUAACAAAGGUCAGAAAAGCACAGCGCUCAGUGUCAGGAGGCCUAAGGCUGGGCCAAGUCCCAUGGAGUCAGGGUCAUCUGCUACCUAAUCACCCACGACGGGUCCUUGGCGAUGCUCGCAUUGUCUGGUCCGAGCAGAGCCACGCCGUGUGUGCUCCUCCCAGCGCCCAGGUACCUGCAGGUGGACGGGUGGGGGUCACUCAGGCACCAGCGAGGGGCGCAGGGUCUGGGCACUAAACCACCUGGCUCCUACUCACCUGUUGCUCACGUCGACCAGAUCUUCGUGGCGGACGGCGAAGAGCUGCUCGCGGUGCGCCUGCUUCACCUCAUCCGAGAGGCCAUACAGGAAGCAGUCCAGGCCUGAGUGAGCACAAGUGACAGGAUGGAGGGGCAUGUGGCCACCUUGGCCCUUUACAGCCUGUUUCCACCAAAGGUCACACUGCUGCCCGUCACGCGCCCACAGCGCGCUCUCCUCCCGACUCAGCUGAGACGCAUGGAGGCUGGGAGGGCGCGAGCCCGGGGAGCCGCGUGGGGGGUCCUGGCUGUUGACACCGUGGCUCGAGGUGCGUCACCUACGCCAGAUACCUUUGUCUGAAGGAGCCACCGGAGCAUCCACGGCGGCGAAGACAGAGAGCUUUGCCUCGUUGAUGUCCUGCUGCGUGAACCUCCCAGACUUGGCCCAGUCGAUAGCCUUCAGGAAGGACUGCAGCGUCUCCGUGGAAUGCGGGUCCCUGGAGACCCAAGGAGUCAGACUCGCAUGUUUGGCAGAAAAAGUAUAGGGGACACCCAGGCACGACUUCAGUUCUUCCACGCUUCGGGGUUGUUAAGGGCUGUUUUAACAGUCCAGACAACCCAGUACUCUGGAAAUUGACAUGUGGCCACACAAGCCACCGACACACUCUGCAGACCUCGCUUAUCACCCCCACUUCGCCACCUGAUCCCUGACUACACCGCUGUGACCCGGGAGAGCCGGGGGGACCAGCCCGAAGGAACAGAAGACGCUCGUAAGAUGCACCCAGAGGGCACAAUGAUCACCCCUCAGAGGCCAAUUUCCAGGGUCCUCCCCUGAACAGAAAGAGAGCUCCAAGGCCCCUCAUUCACACGUGCAUGUGGUCCUGAGGGUGUCUUGUGGGAAACGCCUCGUCUUUCAUGUCCCUCGAGACCCGUGGCUCCCACAUGACCACAUCACCACCGUGAAGCGGUCGGGGGCAGAGAGAAACCCUCCGUCCCUGAGGUGCCAGAGAGGCAGCAGGGCCACAGAACAGAGACGUAAAAGGGCAGAACAGCCUGGCCCUGAAGACCCAGCCCAGCCCCGGAGAGCUUCCAGAUCAUCUCCUUACAUCCUGGUUACCAAACCCCAGAGCUAUUUAAGGCCAGGGUUUUCUGUCCCCUCCCGCUGUCCCUAAGGCCUGCAGCCAAAAGGACCUUGCUGGGUGAGGCUACACGCCGGCCCAGGGACAACAGAGGAAGCGUUUUUCUGAAGUUCGCUCCGUGUGUGAGGACACUGGGGCCAGGCGGCCCGACUCACCUGUACGAGUAGAGCGUGAAGAUCCCGCCAUAGCUGAGUCUGGCGCCUCCACCAUAAGCACCGCCUUUUUCUCGAAUUUCCGUGUGCAAGAAUUUAGCUGUCAUCAAGCGUGCCAGGAUCUUGAGACUGAAAAGAUGAAAAAAACAAACACACGUUCCUACUCCUGAUGGCCUGGCAGAGUGUGUUUGAUUCCUGUAAACACGGAAACAAGCUGACGGAGAAGCCGAGGUGUGCUGACACUUCCCACACAUAGACACCCUGUCCCUUGAGCCCAGCAGCAGCGCCGUGCUCCAGAGCUGCUCCGCACCCACCAUCAAGCGUCCCCAGCGGUGCCCCUCCCCCUCGCACCUGGCGUGGGCCGGGGCCGCGUACGGGGCAGUCCUGAUGCACUCGGCUACGUAGUUCACCGGGAACGGGAACAGGAAGUGCGUCUUCAUCGGGCAGGGCUUGAAGGUGGGGUCCUGGGGGCAGAGGCCGUCACCACCGUGUGGCCCAGGGGCCAGCUGGGCAGGUGCCCCCGAGUACCCAGACCCCCGCACUGCGACGCCCUGGGCAGCACCGGCCACGUCGCCACACAUAACAGCCAGGCGCUGAUGACCUCGUCCCGCAUAACCUCACCUCAGAGCUGAGAUGAAGUAUCCUACCCCCAACCCAGACUCCCCUGGGACCAUAUCAUGGCACGCCAUUCCCAGGGCAGUGUGUGUGACCUUGCUUGGUCACUCCCCCCGGACAAGCCAGGCCAGCUGCCAGAGCCACCAGAGCUCAGGGGCAGCGGGGUGCACGGGAGGGGAGGUGACCCCCACGUGGCAGUGACGUUUAACCAGAGGUGGACUGAACACGAGGCGUCCACACAGACAGCACCUGCCGGUCCUACCCGACAGACACCCAGCUGGUGACGGAAGGGCCCACGGAUGCACAGCAGGCAGGGCAUUAAGCGGAAGGGACUCACCGUCACCAGCUUCCUCGUGACCAGGGAGUGCCUGCCAGGUCCCUUAGGUGCAGGUUUCUGAAAGUAAAAUGUUUCCCAGAGAAAUGAGAAAACGCCCAAGCUCAGGUGAGCAGGUAAGGUACGUUCCAGGAAGUGCACAGAGCUCACGACAAGCGUCAGGGUACAUCUUCUCGAGGCUUCAAGCUCUGAGGCUGCUGCAUCCCCAGCCCAAGUGGCCCUCCAAUCAGGAGACUUCACUGCAAGGCUCAAGUGGCUACAGGGAAGCACAGGAUCGAAGGCCAAACUACAGGGUUUAGAUUCACUGGGUUUCCUGGCCCGGCAGGCAGGCAGGGGGCACAACCUCACCUCCACCACGUGCGGGGGCG